UAUCAAUGAUGGCAAUGCAUUUUUCUAUCAAGUAUAACAGAGUUUCGCUUGCGUGGAUUGAGAGAUGUUAAACAGUAUUGAAGGGUCGGCUAUCGAUUUUUUUGUUUGGUAAUGGGAAGUUUGUUGUGUAUCAGGAGUUAAGUGAUUUUGAAUUUUUUAACUUAAUAAAUCAUUCUCAUAUUUAGUAAUCUCUAAUGGGUUUUUCAGUUAUGGUGCUAAAUAUCUAAUGCAUUUUCAUUUAUUUUUUAUUGCAAGGUUUUAACAAUAAUGGCAAUUUGCUACUGUGGAUAUUUAUGUUGAAGACCUCAAGAUUAUAUUUAUUAAUUCAGUUAAACAUCAUGAUGAAAACUACAUGGUUGCUUCAGUGGGUGUUGAUCUUUUUCAUAUCAAGAUUAAACCGAUAUUAUUGGAUGUGGUUUCCUUUGCGUACUAAAGAAUCGACUCUUUCUAUCUAUGGAUAUCACAGUUUUGUUUGCUUCAAAAUCUAGGCUUUUU
rnacentral:lncRNA from 1 species